UGAGAAGAAAAAAAGGCGUGAGAUGGAAAACCGUGUCAAGCAGCGCAUGAUAAACUUGAAAUCUUUGGAAAGAGAGGAUGAUCUGGAUAGUGUAGCUGCAAAACUUAUUGACCAGAUCAAAGCUAUGAAGAUUCAGCGAUUCCAACUUGCAAUGGAAAUUAAGAAUUUACUUAUUGAUGCUGUGGCUCACAGAAGAAGUUAUGCUGAACAUAACAUGGCAUCCCUUGAACUUGCGCUGAAGGUUAAAGAGAUGGAAGCUAAUGUGAAGCACCAAGAAAAAUUUGCAGUACAAGCAUCUCUGCAUUAUGAGUACUGUAAAAAGGAGACAGAGGAAUAUCGGCAACAAUUGGAAGCUGCCAAGAGGAAUGCAGAAUCAGUAGCUAUUAUAACUCCAGAACUUGAGCAAGCUUUUUGUGAGAUGCCAUCUACAAUUGAGGAGUUGGAUGCGGCUAUUCAAGAUACCAUUUCUCAAGCCAACUCCAUUCUUUUUCUGAACCAUAAUGUUCUAGAAGAGUAUGAAGCACGUCAGAAAAAAAUUGAAUCUCUUUCUAAGAGUCAAGAGAUGGAAGAAGAGAAAUUAAGCAACCUCACUAACGAAAUCAAUGCUUUAAAGGAAAGGUGGCUGCCAACAUUAAGAAGUCUUGUUUCUCAAAUCAACCAGACUUUUAGCCGUAAUUUCCAAGAAAUGGCUGUUGCAGGAGAAGUUUCAUUAGAUGAGCAUGACAUGGACUUCGACAAAUAUGGGAUACUAAUUAAAGUCAAAUUCAGGGAGACGGGACUACUCCAAGUUCUAAGUUCCCACCACCAAUCUGGAGGAGAACGAUCUGUUUCAACUAUUCUUUACCUAGUUUCUCUCCAAGACCUAACAAAUUGCCCCUUUAGAGUGGUGGAUGAAAUAAAUCAAGGAAUGGAUCCUAUCAAUGAGAGGAAAAUGUUUCAGCAACUAGUGAGAGCUGCAAGCCAACCCAAUACACCGCAGUGCUUCUUGCUUACCCCAAAGUUGCUGCCAAAUCUUGAAUACAGCGAAGCAUGCAGCAUUCUAACAGUAAUGAAUGGGCCCUGGAUUGAGCAGCCAUCCAAAGUUUGGAGUGGUGGAGAAUGCUGGAGAUCCAUUAUGGGUUUAACCUCUGUUGCUGCUGAUUAGAAUCAGUAAUAUUUGUGGUACCAGGCACCGUCCAUAAGAAAAAAUUACAAUUUUCUAGUUGAUCAUCAUAUUGCCCUGUUAAAAGCUGAACCAUGGUCACUCAGCUAUUGUUUUUUGAAAAAAUCUUAAAUAGUGCAUAAUUUUUUUGUACGCAUAAAUUCGUAAUGCUGCCCCCUGUUUAUAGUAGUAACAUAGAGCCGUAGUGGUAUUCCCUCUGUUGGAACUUCAAUAAUUUGUCCUUCGUUCUCUUUCUUUAUAUAUAUA
rnacentral:misc_RNA from 1 species